rnacentral:rRNA from 1 species
AUUGAACGCUGGCGGCAGGCUUAACACAUGCAAGUCGAGCGAGCGGCGGACGGGUGAGUAAUGUCUGGGAAACUGCCUGAUGGAGGGGGAUAACUACUGGAAACGGUAGCUAAUACCGCAUACCAUCAGAUGUGCCCAGAUGGGAUUAGCUAGUAGGUGGGGUAAUGGCCCACCGAGGCGACGAUCCCUAGCUGGUCUGAGAGGAUGCCCGGCCACACUGUAACUGAGACCCGGGCCAGACUCCUACGGGAGGCAGCAGUGGGGAAUAUUGCACAAUGGGCGCAGGCCUGAUGCAGCCAUGCGGCGUGUGUAGAGAAGGCCUUCGGGUUGUAAAGCACUUUCAGCGAAGAGGCGUUACUCGCAGAAGAAGCACCGGCUAACUCCGUGCCAGCAGCCGCGGUAAUUC